CUAAAAGACUAGCAUGCAUAUACGCCGGUACUACCGACAGAUGUUGGAGAUGCGGCACAGCCAGGGGAACAAUGCACCUCCCACCAUACUGGACCAAUGUGGAGAAACUGAUUGCAGACUACAUGGACUUUACACUUAAACCCAAACUCAGGCUUUUAUUUAUGGGACUAAAGGAAUUCAACAACUCCAUACUAGUGUUCCAUGUCCUGAUGGCAGCUGUCACACUAAUAGCAAGAGCAUGGGGGGAGGAAGAUGCCCAAUCAUGGGGCGCCCUGUUACAGCAAAUCACAGUUAACUUAGACUAUGAACAUUUGGCAAGAAAAC